rnacentral:tRNA from 1 species
GGAGAGAUGGCUGAGUGGUUGAUAGCUCCGGUCUUGAAAACCGGUAUAGUUCUAGGAACUAUCGAGGGU